rnacentral:rRNA from 1 species
UACGGAGGGUGCAAGCGUUAUCCGGAUUCACUGGGUUUAAAGGGUGCGUAGGUGGGUUGGUAAGUCAGUGGUGAAAUACUUUCGCUUAACGAAGGAACUGCCAUUGAUACUACCAGUCUUGAAUACAGUGGAGGUAGGCGGAAUGCGUCAUGUAGCGGUGAAAUGCUUAGAUAUGACGCAGAACACCAAUUGCGAAGGCAGCUCGCUACACGAAUAUUGACUCUGAGGCACGAAAGCGUGGGGAUCAAACAGG